rnacentral:lncRNA from 1 species
UGUGAAUGUACGAUUGAGAGCAAUCACUCCUUACUCACUGCUUCACUUGACUUCAGUGUACAUCUCCCUAAAAUUGCUGUCUUCUCUCCUCCCUUGCCUUCUCUGCAGAUAACACAGCUUGUUGUGUCUAUGGAUUGACCACUUAAAAAUCAUUUCCACUAUCAAAAACAUGCCAAGAAUUUUUGGGCUUGUUGCUUGGCUUUUACCUUUUAACGGAGACAUUUUAAGGUAAACCCAAAAUUAAGCUGUGCACAACUGGAGAUUUGGCGUGAGUUAUAAAUAACUCCCUCCCAGACAUUUUGGAAUGCUCUCUGCUGAAGAACUUAGAACAUACAUGUUCAUGGGCAAGGUUUACAAAAGGAUUCCAGGAAAUAACCUUCUCACAACUGAAAGGAAAAUGAACUUCACACACAUUUACUUCUUAGCCCCACUGUUUUGAUCUUCGUCAUUCCUCUUACCAUUGCAAAAUAAAUGCCCACCUAAGCAACCUGUAUCUCCUUUG